rnacentral:rRNA from 1 species
AGAGUUUGAUCAUGGCUCAGAAUGAACGCUGGCGGCGUGCUUAACACAUGCAAGUCGAACGAGAAAGCCUUGGCUUGCCAGGGCGAGUAAAGUGGCGCACGGGUGAGUAACGCGUGGGUAAUCUGCCCUUGAAUCCGGGAUAACCCUUUGAAAGGGGGGCUAAUACCGGAUGACAUCUUUAUGUUUUUGGACAUUUAGAUCAAAGGUGGCCUCUACAAGUAAGCUACUGUUUGGGGAUGAGCCCGCGUACCAUUAGCUAGUUGGUAGGGUAAUGGCCUACCAAGGCCGCGAUGGUUAGCUGGUCUGAGAGGAUGAUCAGCCACACUGGAACUGACACACGGUCCAGACUCCUACGGGAGGCAGCAGUGAGGAACUUUGCGCAAUGGGGGCAACCCUGACGCAGCAACGCCGCGUGAGUGAUGAAGGCUUUCGGGUCGUAAAGCUCUGUCAAGUGGGAAGAACCUACCUGUGAUUAAUAAUUACAGGUACUGACGGUACCACUGAAGGAAGCACCGGCUAACUCCGUGCCAGCAGCCGCGGUAAUACGGGGGGUGCAAGCGUUAUUCGGAUUUACUGGGCGUAAAGGGCGCGCAGGCGGUUUUGUAAGUUGGAUGUGAAAGCCCGGGGCUCAACCCCGGAAGAGCAUUCGAUACUGCGAGACUUGAGUAUGGGAGA